GGGGGGGGGGGGGGGGGGGGGGGGGGGGGGGGGGGCGAGCGGGGGGGGGGGGGGGGGGGGGGUCGGCAGAGAGGCAGGGCGGAGUAGUGGCAGACGGGUGAGUAACGCGUGAGCAACCUACCUCUUACAAAGGGAUAGCCUCGGGAAACCGGGAUUAAUACCAUAUAACAUUGUGACGAAGCAUUUCGAUGCAAUCAAAGCUACGGCGGUAAGAGAUGGGCUCGCGUCCCAUUAACCGGAUGGUGAGGUAACGGCUCACCAUAGUGACGAUGGGUAACCGGCCUGAGAGGGUGAACGGUCACACUGGAACUGAGACACGGUCCAGACUCCUACGGGAGGCAGCAGUGGGGAAUAUUGCACAAUGGAGGGAACUCUGAUGCAGCGACGCCGCGUGAGUGAUGAAGGAAUUCGUUUCGUAAAACUCUGUUCUAUGGGAAGAAAAGGACUGUACCAUAGGAGAAAGCUCCGGCUAAAUACGUG
rnacentral:rRNA from 1 species